GACGUAGGGCGCGAGCGUUGUCCGGAUUUAUUGGGCGUAAAGAGCUCGUAGGCGGCUUGUCGCGUCGUCCGUGAAAACCUGCAGCUCAACUGCAGGCUUGCGGUCGAUACGGGCAGGCUAGAGUUCGGCAGGGGAGACUGGAAUUCCUGGUGUAGCGGUGAAAUGCGCAGAUAUCAGGAGGAACACCGGUGGCGAAGGCGGGUCUCUGGGCCGAUACUGACGCUGAGGCGCGAAAGCGUGGGGAGCGAACAGG
rnacentral:rRNA from 1 species